CAGUCGCCGCGGUAAUACGGAGGGUGCAAGCGUUAUCCGGAUUUAUUGGGUUUAAAGGGUCCGUAGGCGGAUCUGUAAGUCAGUGGUGAAAUCUCACAGCUUAACUGUGAAACUGCCAUUGAUACUGCAGGUCUUGAGUAAAUUUGAAGUGGCUGGAAUAAGUAGUGUAGCGGUGAAAUGCAUAGAUAUUACUUAGAACACCAAUUGCGAAGGCAGGUCACUAAGAUUUAACUGACGCUGAUGGACGAAAGCGUGGGGAGCGAACAGGAUUAGAUACCCCGGUAGUCCCUGUCUCUUAUAC
rnacentral:rRNA from 1 species